UACAAGUGAAAUUUCACGAGGUUGUAAACUAUCAUAAUCUUAAUAAAAAGUUAAAAAAAUAGAUAUUAAGUUAAGGUAGAGCAUUAUGAAUUUGGUUUGUGACCUAUUGAGUCUGAGGUGCCUGAAGGACGUGUACCUGUAGGUAUUUUGUAGGAAAGGGAACGUGUGUCUGAAGCUUGGAAGACAGACCAUUAGCUCAGUUAUCAAUUAAUUCAAUAAACGAGAUAGUAAGCACCAUUCUGUGUCGGGGGAUGGCCUGAGAUGAAGACCAGAGGACUAAAAGUCCCAUCCUAGGGAGCACACCGACCCGAGGAGAGACAGGUGAGCCUGACCGACAUUUCCCUGACAGAUGUGGGCCAGGGAUGCUUUUGGAACAGUGUUCUGGGCCCUCGCCUGACAGAAGGCUUGGGAAGAUCUCCAGGAAGAGCUGAUGUCUGGGCUGGGUUCUGAGGGUGCUGAGGAGUCGUCAGCUGGCAGAGGGGCUGGUGGGUAGGCACCCCAGGCAGGACUGAGAAAGAGACCAGCGUGUUGGAGGCUGGAAAAUAGAGUGUGUGUGGAGGCGGGGGGGCGGUGGAGAAGGGAGCAGGUCCUGCGGGAGCCACUGAGGGACUUUAAGCAGGGAAGCAAAUUUGCAUUUAAGGAAGAUCUUUCUGGAGAUCAGAUCAGACAGGCCAAUCAAACAUACAAGAAUCCAGAUGAAAUAUGAUGAGGGCUGGGAACAGGCCAAUUGGGUCAAAAGUCAUUUGCAGAAAGCCAGUGUUCUCUCUGUGUCCCCUAGUCGAUCGUCUGGAGGAUGGGAGCGAUGAGGAUGGAGCAAUGAGGAUGGAGCAAUGAGAGCCCCUUCUCUUCUUCAGUGCCCUCCAGUGCAGUAAGAGCAAGUAAGAGCAGAAACAAAGUGAACAAUCUUUUUAAGUGCAGAAUAAUCCAGUCAAUUAUAACCAUGCAAAAAUUUGCAAAAGCUGUGAAAGUCAUUCUAUCCAAUAUGCUUUUCAGUGAACUUCAUUAAAUAGCCAUAGAGACAAGAAAAUUUGACAAACUGGUCACUCACUACACUGGCUUUUAACACACUGAUCUAGAACGAAGUCUACCAGUUGCAUGCUUUUCAUGGUUCCACGUACCUCUUCUGCAGCGCUUAUUAGAGCUGCCAUUUUUGUAAUCACUUAGCUCCUGGAUCUUCCCCGACAAGAAGGGAAGUGCCCUGAUGGCAAGGACUGCCACCUUUUAUGCAUCACUCUUCUAUUGAAAGACUGAUGCUCCAGAUGGGUGCAAAUAGAAAACAAUUCGAUUUUUUCCCAACUUUAUCCCUUUAAAUCCUUUCUGAGGUCUCAUUUUUCUUUAAUCUUUGGAUAGAAACUUGGGCACAUGUUGGAACUUUUCAGUCACUCUUAGAGCAAAAACAAAAAAAAUUAAAAGACUUUAGUCCCAGGAGCAGUGAUAUAACAGCAGUUACAAUGUCCUGUGUAAUCACUGAAACUCUGGCCUUCGCUCCAGAUGAAAGCUUCUCGGACCCCCAGCUCAGCCUCAUUCGGGGCAUGGGGGCAGGGAGGGGGGUAUUCAUUGAAUGAAUGGUGGAAAAACCCAACAGAGAGAGAACAUUGAGGAGAAUUUACAUUGAAGGAGCUGAAGAUGUGGAACAAGCAAAAGAGACUUUGCUUCCCAGCCACAGUGUUGCUCCCGUGUCUAAUGCGGCAGAGGCCUUCAGAGGAUGAAGCCUGAAAAAGCCCACUGAAUUUGAUGAACAGGAGUCAUUGGGACCCUUUGAAGAAGUGGUUUUAGCUGAAUGUCAGAGGCAGAAAGCAGACCUUGGUGAGCAGAGGCCGGAAUGGGAAGUGAAGAAAGGGAAGCAGAGUGUAGGCUCACUGCUUUGAUUGGUCUUGUGCUUAGACAUGGGAGACUUUAAAAACAUCUCUGCUUCCUCUCCGAGCCCCAAUAAAAUGAGAUUAAAAGGAUUUUUUAACAAAGGCAUGACCAAUAAGGCUAAAGAGAAUGGGGAGAAGACUACAGACUCGAGAGGUUGUCAAAAUGUUGGAAGCUGGACAGCAGAUGGGCUGCUACUAACGGAUGUAGCAGGCCAGAGAGAACGGAAUCCCAAGCCUAACGAGGGAAGGCCAUCAGAAUAAAGCAAAUUCCCCCUACAGAACCCCAGAAAAGCCAAGGAAUAGGGACACCUAGUACCACUGAAGAAGACGGAGUGGCUAAAAAACCAGGGGAUUGGCUAAAAGAAAUGGUUUUAUGAACAUUUUAUUAAGAAAUCUGAUGUAGACAGCAGAAGAAACAGCAAAGAUUUGAAAGUGGUUGUCUCUGGACAGAGAGAAUCAGGGGUGCAGAGGGGUGUGGUGGGGUAUUUCACAUUAUAAGCAAGGAUAAUUGAUCCUAUCUGACCGCUCAGUAUCUAUGCCCAAUAAAUUAUUAAACAUUUAAAAAUCACCAUGGUUUUGAGCCUUAUGGUAUUAUUUGCCUUUGUAAACUAUAUACAUGAAAUAAUUUGAUAAAAAAUCAAUUAAAUGAAAAGUAAUGUCAUUAUGCUUUCAGUAGAGAAAAGAUUAAAUGUUAGGCUUUGAAUGAGAAAGAAACAGAUGAGACAGUAGCACAAAGGGACCAAGAGCAAAGAGAGAUUGUUGUUGUUGCUGGGAUAGAAGAGAUUUUAUCAUAAUUCUAGGCCAAGGUCAGGAAUCUAACAGAAAGGGAAAGAUUGAAGCUUUAAUGGAGAGGCAGCAAAAUUGUUGAAACACAGUUGAGGAGAGGAUAGGAGGAGGGGUAAUUAGAACGCAGUGGAGAAGACUGCCUUAGAUAUAUCAGUUUCCUAUUCCUACAAUUUCUUAUUCUAAAUUGGAACCAGUCUUAUCAUAAUAUUACCAUUUAAAAUUUCAGGUUGAUGGUAAUGGCUAACACCAAUACAGUGGCUAUUGACAAUGGCAUUAAUCAAAGGAGAGAGAGAAAAUUAUUGUGAGGCAAUAGCUGGGGACAGUAAGAGGAGGUUUCUUUGUCCACUGUGUAAAACAUGAUGACAGAGGCCUUUAACUCUAACGGGACUGGGUAAGUCACAUGUGUCUAUGGAUCCUCAGUGUCUAGACCAGUGGGCUGAUGACCUUUGAGGACAUUAUUAAAGGGGUUUGUGAAUGCAUUUGUACAUAAAUCUUUGCCUGAAGACAGAAUAUAGACUAUGCCUCAUACAUUUAUGUACGCCCAUCUUUCCAAAAUUUGUAGGUGCUAUUAAGAUUAAUAAUCAAAAUUAUUUAAACCAUCACCUGAAAUUAUAUUGACUUUGUCACUUCCUUUCCUCCCACAAUAACAGAAAUGAAAACAAAUAAAUAAUAUAAAAUAACAGAAACUAAAAUAACAACUAUUAUGUGUAGAGUUGCUGGUAUAAGAUGGGGUGGUGGAUCUAAGUACUUUUUAAUGUUUAUCUUUGUGGUAAACAUUAACACUGUUUACUAAAAUCUUAUUUUACUCUACUUCAAGGCAAAUGGGAAGACUGCAUUUCCUUUUUGAGGUUGGACAUGGUGGGGACUUGCUUUGGCCAAUGAAAUACAAGCUGAAGUAACAUAUAUUGGUUUCAGGUAGAGGCGUUUAACUGCCAGUGCUCAACGACCCAGCAUUCUCUUUCCCUGUCAUGGUGACCAUGGGAACACGUGCUGUAGAGAUGUCACAGAAUCAAAGCAGCCGAGCAUGCUCCAAAAAAAUAAUAAUAUUUAAUGAUAUAGCAAUUAUUUUCACGUGAACUUUGUCUUUUUGUUCUAGGCAGGACUACAAUGAAGCAUUUUAGAGCAAUGAUUGGUCAUUAGAAAACAAAGAAAGAAAACAAUCUCCUCUUCAACCCCAGCAGACAGCAACACAGCUUUACCUGUGGUUUCUUCAGCACGUUUCCUCUCAUUUGCUUUUCACCUUCAAUCUAUAAAUAAAGGAAAAAGAAUGAUUAACUACGACCAAAGCCAGGAAAAGUCCAUCACUUUCUCUUUUUACUGCUUUUUGUAAAAAAAGUAGAAAGUUCCCCUUCUACUGAUGACUAGCUAUGUGAUCUUGGGGCCAGCAUGUUACUGUUGGAAAUGGUGGGAAAAUAGUUGUCUGGUGUGUGCAGACCAAACAACUGAAUGAACUUCAAGCAGAAGACACAUGAAGGAAGCUCCACACUCAAAUUUCUCAAAUGCCAGUGAUAGAAAAAUCCUCAAAACGGCUAAAGAAAAAAAGACACAUAUGUGAAGGAACAAAGGAAUGAAGACAACUUUAUUGCUAGAUGAUUGUUCAGUAAAAGAAAGGGACUCUUUUCUGGUGAAGACUAGGAGAUGGGAAGAAGAAAAGUACAUCACAUUGAAGGCUAUGCUGAUCACAUGAAAAAUCCUCAACCCCACAGUUUCUUCACUAUGCACAGGCUCUGCUGUGAUCCAAUUACACUCCCUGAGCAGAGAAAACUUUUCAAAACAAGGAUUCUUGCCGAAGCACCAACUCUAGUGCAGGAUUCAUUUAUAUUUGUGAUAGCAGAAAUGCGGUCACGGUUUGGUUCUCCUGAAGCAGACACGAGACAGAAUUUGGGGUGCAAGACACUUAUUAGGAAUCGACUCAUGUGAAUGGAAGGGAGGGGAAGUCGGAGUGAGCAGGAGAAAUUGGACUGCAAUGCAGGUUUGACAAAGUUCUGGCCAGCUCCUGGGGGCUCUGGAGUGAGUGUGGCCUGUCACAGGGUCAGGCAGAAAUGGCUGGACCAUUAAAUCCUGCCUUGCUCCUGGUGUGGGUUGCCCAGGAAAGGCAUGGCCUCAGGUGAGGCAGUUCUCUGUAGCUGAGGCCGACCCUGAAGGAUCUGACAAAGUUGUGGUCAGAAGGAAGUGUCUGCUGACCACGCUCUUCACAGCUGGGCAGCAAGACCUUCCUUGAAGGGGGAUCUGGGAG